AGAAAAUUAGUUAAAAUAUAACCUUAACUUGUCAUGUUAAAAUUAUCCAAAGAUAUUUUCUU
rnacentral:tRNA from 1 species